rnacentral:rRNA from 1 species
UACGUAGGGUGCGAGCGUUGUCCGGAUUUAUUGGGCGUAAAGGGCUCGUAGGCGGCGUGUCGCGUCGGGAGUGAAAGACCGGGGCUUAACCCCGGUUCUGCUUCCGGUACGGGCAUGCUGGAGUGUGGCAGAGGGGGGUGGAACUCCGCGUGUAGCAGUGAAAUGCGUAGAGAUGCGGAGGAACACCGAUGGCGAAGGCAGCCCCCUGGGCUGACACUGACGCUCAGGCACGAAAGCGUGGGGAGCAAACAGG